UACAGAGGUCUCAAGCGUUGUUCGGAUUCAUUGGGCGUAAAGGGUGCGUAGGUGGCGCGGUAAGUCGGGUGUGAAAUCUCGGAGCUUAACUCCGAAAUUGCAUUCGAUACUGCCGUGCUCGAGGACUGGAGAGGAGACUGGAAUUCAUGGUGUAGCAGUGAAAUGCGUAGAGAUCAUGAGGAAGACCAGUGGCGAAGGCGGGUCUCUGGGCUGACACUGACGCUCAUGCACGAAAGCGUGGGGAGCAAACAGG
rnacentral:rRNA from 1 species